CCCGGGUCAGCGUGUAGUUGAACCAGUCCUUGCUCCUGAUAAGCUUCCCGUAUACGGUUUCAUGAGCCAAGGCAUUAACGGGUAAGCGGGGUCUCCAAGGAUCACAAUGGCAUUUCGACGUCCCUACUGUGAUCUUGCGGG